UAAUAGCCUUGGGGGAGGACGUUACCCAAAGAAUAAGCACCGGCUAACUCCGUGCCAGCAGACGCGGUAAUACGGGGGGUGCAAGCGUUAAUCGGAAUUACUGGGCGUAAAGGGUCUGUAGGUGGUUUGUUAAUUCAGAUGUGAAAGCCCAGGGCUCAACCUUGGAACUGCAUUUGAUACUGGCAAACUAGAGUACUGUAGAGGAAUGGGGAAUUUCUGGUGUAGCGGUGAAAUGCGUAGAGAUCAGAAGUA
rnacentral:rRNA from 1 species